rnacentral:lncRNA from 12 species
GGCUUUUGAAAAUUAGACUAGAGGUUGAAUCCUUGUUCCACUAUUUUCUAAUUCUGUAUACUUUUUUUUUUAAUUUUUAUUUAUUUAUGAUAGUCACAGAGAGAGAGAAAGAGAGAGAGGCAGAGACACAGGCAGAGGGAGAAGCAGGCUCCAUGCACCGGGAGCCCGACGUGGGACUCAAUCCCGGGUCUCCAGGAUCGUGCCCUGGGCCAAAGGCAGGUGCCAAACCGCUGCGCCACCCAGGGAUCCCCUAAUUCUGUAUACUUAACGAAGUUACUAAGUUGUCCAUAAAUUUAGCUUCCACAAAUCUUAUAUAUCAUUGUCAUCAUCAUCAUCAUCAUCAUCAGCAGCAGCAGCAUCCUUAAUAGAAAACAAAAUCGCUUCAGUAUGUGAACCUCAUCAUAGAAAAGUCAUUUAAAAGGAAAUACAAUCAAGAAGGAAAGGAAAUGGCAUUUAAAUGAUACUGCUUCAUGGAAUGUAACAAAUUUAAAAUACAAGGAAUGUCUUCAUUUUGGAACAAACUCUCUGUAAACAGCACAAGACUGAAGACAACAACCUUGAACACCACGGGAAAUGUGAAGUUAGGACACCAGGAUUGGUGGAGUAUCUAAAAUGGGCUGUGCGUCUAAUUCAAGGGAAGAAACAACUUAUUCCUGGACCAAUGGAUCUAAGACAACAUUUCAUUCUUUCUAUGGAUGGCAACAGAAGCUAUGACAGGAAAGCCAGAUGUUUUUACAGGAUUGGAAUGAAGGAUCAUCAUUGCCUCAGGCGUCGAACAUUCACCAAAGUUGAUUCACCUUCAAAUGGCAGAGCAAGAAAAGGACACUCGUUUUUAUUUCACUCAAGACUGUUGUUGGUCAGUUUCAAGUUGUUUAGACAAGUUCUGCUCUCAAACAGUACCUAGGCUAGGGAAAGAAAGAGAAAGAUAAACAACUAAUCAUUUAACGUGAACGAUGUUCCAAUCGUUUGUCCCCGCUGAUUUCUCACUACUGACGUUCUUUUAUUUCUUACAGAAAAACAGAAAAAAUAUGUGGGUUCCCAAAUGCAAAGAGCAUUUGUGUUUCUGAUUUUAGCGAAGUUGCUUAGUUAGGAGAGGCAGAGCCACAGAGAAAGUCAUCAUGCAUCAUUUUUUUGGAAAAUAGGUCUGUACAUGAAUUUUGCCUCAGAAAUUAGCUUUUUUUUUCCAAAAAAAAGGAACACAU